rnacentral:lncRNA from 1 species
GCACAUCAAUAUAGAAAGAUACAUCUUUUGACAUUUUAACUUCUUUUCAACUAACACAACUUUUAAAAUAAAAUAACACAAUCUUUCACAUUAAUUGAGAUUCCUAUAAAAACACACAACCUUUGGAAUUAAUUGGGAUUGCUAUUAUUAGUAGAUAAAGAAUACAAUAUCCCUACACACAUUACAAAGUGAAAUACACGUGUAGAGUAACAAAAUAAUUUUCAGCCACGUGGGAUAAAUGAGACAUGCAAAUCUAGAUCUUUCUCUUUACUGCCGCCGGCAAACUUCCGGCCACCGUCGACGAUAGAGCUUCAUCUUCCCACCUUCAUUCUUCGUUUCACUUUGAUUUUGUACUCUCUAUAUUUAGCUUUCGCCUUCAACUGUCACUAGAAGUUUGAAUCUCUUACAACUGCUGCUGAAUUUAAACUGAGAUAACUCUAAUUGAUUCAACUAGAAGACUUUUAACUGGACCACCUUUAUAGAAGAUGCCAGUUUCUACUGAGUCUCCAUUAAAUCAACCGAGUAAUUCCAACAUCACCAUCGUCCUUUUCAUCUGAGAUGCUCUGUUUUUAUGUUGACUUAUACUCUUAAUAUAUAAGAGAGAAAGAGCCUCAUACAAAAGGGAUCUGUGCUCAAACAGCAAAGAAGAAAAGUUUCAAACCCAAGCAUCAACGGAAUAUGGAUUAGCCCAACGAAAGAGAUAAACAAAAAGUCGCCUAGCGAAAGAUUUAUCCGCAACGGAAGGUACUUUGAUCUAGUGAUCGAUAAUAUGAUACAAUAUAAACAAGAAACAAAAAAGAGGGGUGGUGACCGGUGGCGAGUUGCUCACCGGCCACCGGAGAUGAUUUCAAGUUCGAUGUAAAACUAGAGAGAAGUUGGAGCACGGAAGUGGGAUUAGUGUGGGAGAAAGCAUGAUUAGAUUGGGUUUAAAUUCAUUUUUUCGGGUCAGCUCGAUACAUAUUAUUCGG